rnacentral:rRNA from 1 species
GAUGAACGCUGGCGGCGUGCCUAAUACAUGCAAGUCGAGCGAACGGACGAGAAGCUUGCUUCUCUGAUGUUAGCGGCGGACGGGUGAGUAACACGUGGAUAACCUACCUAUAAGACUGGGUUAACUUCGGGAAACCGUAGCUAAUACCGGAUAAUAUUUUGAACCGCAUGGUUCAAAAGUGAAAGACGGUCUUGCUGUCACUUAUAGAUGGAUCCGCGCUGCAUUAUCUAGUUGGUAAGGUAACGGCUUACCAAGGCAACGAUGCAUAGCCGACCUGAGAGGGUGAUCGGCCACACUGGAACUGAGACACGGUCCAGACUCCUACGGGAGGCAGCAGUAGGGAAUCUUCCGCAAUGGGCGAAAGCCUGACGGAGCAACGCCGCGUGAGUGAUGAAGGUCUUCGGAUCGUAAAACUCUGUUAUUAGGGAAGAACAUAUGUGUAAGUAACUGUGCACAUCUUGACGGUACCUAAUCAGAAAGCCACGGCUAACUACGUG